AUGGAGUAACCGAAAAGCCAAAAAAGAGUAGGAA
rnacentral:ncRNA from 1 species